rnacentral:lncRNA from 1 species
UCCGUUCCUCGCCGCAAGCCCCAUGACCACCACUCUGCUCCGACCACCCGCUUCUCCGUCGCCUCCUCGCCGCAAGCCCCAUGACCACCACCUCUCCUCACGACCACCAGCUUCUCCAUCGCUUCUCCAUUUCUUCCUCACUUUCAACGAGAACAGAAAACCAGAUUUAAAAGAGAAAUAGAGAGAGAGAGAGAGAGGUGACCAGUGGUGGUGAGAGAGACGGUGGCGAAAGGGGGACUCCACCUUCAGACUCGUGUGUGUGUGAGGAGAGUGUUACAGAGAAAGGAGAUGUGUGUUACAUGAAUCGUGUGUGUGUGUGUGUGUUUGAGACAGUGAGGGAGAUGAAGGGAAUGAUACAGAGAGGAAGAGAUCGAGAAGAAGGAAAAUAAAAAGAUGAAUUCUUGGC